rnacentral:rRNA from 1 species
AUUGAACGCUGGCGGCAGGCCUAACACAUGCAAGUCGAACGAGUGGCGGACGGGUGAGUAAUGUCUGGGAAACUGCCUGAUGGAGGGGGAUAACUACUGGAAACGGUAGCUAAUACCGCAUACCAUCAGAUGUGCCCAGAUGGGAUUGGCUAGUUGGUGGGUGAACGGCUCACCAAGGCGACGAUCCCUAGCUGGUCUGAGAGGAUGACCAGCCACACUGGAACUGAGACACGGUCCAGAUGUCUACGGGAGUCAGCAGGGGGUAAUAGUGCACAAUGGGCGCGACCUUGAUGCAGUCAUGCCUCGUGUAUGAUGUAGGCCGUUGGGUUGUAUAGUACUUUCAGCGGGGAGGCGUUACCCGCAGAAGAAGCACCGGCUAACUCUGUGCCCGCAGCCGCGGUAAUAC